GACGAACGCUGGCGGCGUGCUUAACACAUGCAAGUCGAACGGAAAGGCCCCUUUGGGGGUACUCGAGUGGCGAACGGGUGCGUAACACGUGAGUAACCUGCCCUUGACUUCGGGAUAACUUCAGGAAACUGGGGCUAAUACCGGAUAGGAAUCCUUGCUGCAUGGUGGGGGUUGGAAAGCUUCGGCGGUUUUGGAUGGACUGGCGGCUUAUCAGCUUGUUGGUGGGGUAGUGGCUUACCAAGGCUUUGACGGGUAGCCGGCCUGGGAGGGCGACCGGCCACAUUGAGACUGAGAUACGGCCCAGACUCCUACGGGAGGCAGCAGUGGGGAAUAUUGAACAAUGGGCGGAGGCCUGAUGCAGCACCGCCGCGUGCGGGAUGACGGCCUUCGGGUUGUAGACCGCUUUCAGCAGGGGCGAAGCUUGUGGUGACGGUACCUGCAGAAGAAGCACCGGCUAACUACGUG
rnacentral:rRNA from 1 species